rnacentral:rRNA from 1 species
UACGUAGGGCGCGAGCGUUGUCCGGAAUCAUUGGGCGUAAAGCGCUCGUAGGCGGCCUGUCGCGUCUGCUGUGAAAUCCCGGGGCUCAACCCCGGGCGUGCAGUGGAUACGGGCUGGCUGGAGGCAGGCAGGGGAGAACGGAAUUCCCGGUGUAGCGGUGAAAUGCGCAGAUAUCGGGAGGAACACCGGUGGCGAAGGCGGUUCUCUGGGCCUGUACUGACGCUGAGGAGCGAAAGCGUGGGGAGCGAACAGG